AAGUCGUAACAAGGUUUCCGUAGGUGAACCUGCGGAAGGAUCAUUAUCACGUAUCCAACGUAUCAACCAUUGUGAACUGUUAUUGACCUAUAGAUUACAAAAAGAGGUAGUGUUAAUUUUAACAAUUUAUGAAUAACGUUUUAUUGUUGAUUUGAGUUAUUCGUUAUUAUUAACCCAUGGUAUUUCGAAAGAAUUACUAUACUCUUUUUUUCUAUAGUGUAUUUUCCAAAUCACUUUAAUUCUAUUAACAAUUUAAAUGUAAAAAAAACAAUUUAUAAUUUGAACUGAUCUAAUUUCUUUUCUCUGUUUUUUUUUGUUAACACAAAAAAAAACAGAGACUGAAAUAAUAUUACGAAACAUAAGAACAACUCUUAGCAACGGAUAUCUUGGUUCUC
rnacentral:misc_RNA from 1 species